CAGCAGCCGCGGUAAUACGAAGGGUGCAAGCGUUGCUCGGAAUUACUGGGCGUAAAGCGUGCGUAGGUGGUGGUUUAAGUCCGUUGUGAAAGCCCUGGGCUCAACCUGGGAACUGCAUUUGUGACUGGCAAGCUAGAGUGUGGCAGAGGGGGGUGGAAUUCCGCGUGUAGCAGUGAAAUGCGUAGAUAUUCGGAAGAGCACCAGUGGCGAAGGCGACUGACUGGACAAGUAUUGACGCUGAGGUGCGAAAGCGUGGGGAGCAAACAGGAUUAGAUACCCCCGUAGUCCCUGUCUCUUAUAC
rnacentral:rRNA from 1 species